GGCAUUUACAGGAAAAUAAAGAAAUACAAUGGAGUUUAUGAAAAACUAUACAUAACCAAAGACAGACAAACAACCACUGUGUAAAAGAAUACGAAGUUUGAAGCGUCUUUGAGUUUGUGGAUUCAGUUCAGUGUUAGGUGAUGCUUUUCCCGUGGAUGCUGUGUGUCUGUGAUGCUGCUGCAAGCAUUCGCAGUGGAAUAGAGAAGUACUGUGGAAUGAAUGAAAACCUACACACAAAGACUGACAAACAAUCAAUGUGCAAAAGAAGAUAAACUGUUCAAAUAAGCGAAUAAACAAACAAACAAUACUGAGAACAGGAGUUGUAGAGUCCCUUGAAGCAGCUGGCUGCGAGAGGGAGAGGAAGACUGGUCAAACACAGACAGAUGGUGCCGAACACCCACCCAUCCUUCGCUCUCGUCCUCACUGACUUCAACCUUGCUCGACGCCUCAAUCAGAGAGAAGCAAUGGAGUCCAUCAUGGGCUCUCACCCUGUCUCCAGGCUACCAGGACACACUCUCUGCUCCAAAUAUAUAUAUUUCUUAAUGUAACUUAUAGUAAAUAUUUAGGUACUGUAUUGCAUUGUACGGCUGCUGCAAAGCAACAGAUUUUAUGACAUAUUUCAGUGAUUAUAAACCUGAUUCUGAGCAUUACUAAAAUUGAAUUGACUUUAUUUCUUACAUCCUUCACAUACAUGAGGAGUAAAAAUCUUUAUGUUAUGUCUCCGUCUAAAUGUGCAAUGUGCAAUCAUAGUUAUUUAUAAUAAAUAGAACAGUCAAUGUAACACAGAAUACACUCAAAUCAGCUGAGUUCAUCAGUCUGAUGGCCUGGUGGAAGAAG